rnacentral:rRNA from 1 species
AGAUUGAACGCUGGCGGUAGGCCUAACACAUGCAAGUCGAGCGCGAAAGCACCUUCGGGUGCGAGUAGAGCGGCGGACGGGUGCGUAACGCGUAGGAAUCUGCCUGGUAGUGGGGGAUAACUCGGGGAAACUCGAGCUAAUACCGCAUACGCCCCACGGGGGAAAGCGGGGGACCUUCGGGCCUCGCGCUAUCAGAUGAGCCUGCGUCGGAUUAGCUAGUUGGUAGGGUAAUGGCCUACCAAGGCGACGAUCCGUAGCUGGUCUGAGAGGAUGAUCAGCCACACUGGGACUGAGACACGGCCCAGACUCCUACGGGAGGCAGCAGUGGGGAAUAUGGACAAUGGGGCAACCUGAUCCAGCCAUACCGCGUGUGUGAAGAAGGCCUUCGGGUUGUAAAGCACUUCGAGUAGGGAAGGAAAAGUUAGCGGACGAACGUACCCGGACGACCGUCGGAACGCUACCUGACAAGAAAGAACGCACCGGACAACUCCGUAGCCAGCAGCCGACGGUAC